GAACUUAGAUGCUGCUGGGGAGGCUUUUGUGUGCAAGAGAGGAAAAAGACUGAGGGAAAAGGACUGCAGAGGAUUUGAGGCAAAUCACAUGGCAGCAUGUCUCUGGUGCAGGAUGUAUAAACACAUGAGGGUUUCGCCUGACCUCACAAAUGCAAUGAGACAACCGCAGUUUUGGAGCAGACAAACUCAGUGACAAACCGAAGCAAGACCUCAAUUUGAUGGGAGAGAGCGGGAUGCAUGUCCUGGUGAGCACCACCUAUCCUGACUCUUUUUUAGUGGACUGAUGGAGGGUGAGGCUGCAGGCAGUGACUGCUAGGUCUUGUCUGGCCCCAUGCCUGCUCCAUGCACUGCUGCCACCAUGUCCUGCAAACCCCUGUGGUCCUGGGAAUUGGAGGUUUCCAUGACAGACCUGGAAUGGAGGAGGGUAACUCUGAGGUGCGGUGCCUCCAGUGGGGAUUUGGGCAGCCAGCGAUGAGAUGCGAGUCCAGUCUCUUGCCACUGCUACUUCCAAAGGUGGUGGGGAGGACAGGAACAGACAAAGGCUUCCUCUUCCAAUUGUCCCAGGCACAUCCCUUCCCUCUGGGAAAGCCCUCGCCCUGCCUUUCCCUUUCCGCCUCCCCACUGAUGAUGAAAGCCCCAAGAUCUCUAGUAGAGAGUGAUCCUUGUGUGUAGAAAGUGAUACAAAGGGACUUAAAUCCUUGGUUUCUGGUUCCUAGGGACUACCUUUUUGACCAAGCAACUGUUAUCUUUGGCAUCAU